UGGCGACCGGCGCACGGGUGAGUAACACGUAUCCAACCUGCCGAUGACUCGGGGAUAGCCUUUCGAAAGAAAGAUUAAUACCCGAUGGCAUAGUUCUUCCGCAUGGUAGAACUAUUAAAGAAUUUCGGUCAUCGAUGGGGAUGCGUUCCAUUAGCUUGUUGGCGGGGUAACGGCCCACCAAGGCAUCGAUGGAUAGGGGUUCUGAGAGGAAGGUCCCCCACAUUGGAACUGAGACACGGACCAGACUCCUACGGAAGGCAGCAG
rnacentral:rRNA from 1 species